GUUUAGUAGAAGUGUCCUUCCCGGAGAACUGAGUCAGAACACAACCAAGGUUCCAAACUGCGUGAAUUCAGACUUGUGGAAUCGUUGAAACUUCAAGAAGAUUCACGAUAUUUGCUAAACAUGAGAAACUUGGUCAUUUUGUUGAUUUUCGUGAGCUGUGCAUUGUCUGUGGCGGCUGCUUGCAAGGAUAAAAACAAAAAUUGUAAAUCAUGGGCAUUGAGCGGUGAAUGCAAAAAAAAUCCAAAGUUCAUGGUGAUCAAUUGCCCCAAAAGUUGCACAAUCUGUCCAGGUUGCAAAGAUAAAAACAAAAAUUGUAAAUUCUGGGCAUCGAUCGGUGAAUGCGGAAAAAAUCCAAAUUUCAUGCUGUUCAAUUGCUCCAAAAGUUGCGGAGUCUGUCCAGUUUGUAAGGAUAAAGUCAAAGGUUGUAAAUCUAAGGCAGCAAACAGUGAAUGCACGAAAAACAAAAAUUACAUGAAGCGUAAUUGCCCCAAAACUUGCCGCUUCUGUUAGGAUCAAAAUAAAACCUUCUGACCUGUCUUCUUCCGGAUCAGAUGGAAAAGAUUUGAGGCAGUAGUAUCAUUUUUCUUGCAUGAUUUGGGUUGGGUGAAGGAAUGAGCUGGGUUGCUAAUGUAAGGGGUUUUUUCGCUGUGCUUAUUGCCGAAUUUUAAGCCUCGUUAUCUGGAAAAUAA